ensembl:lncRNA
AGAGAUUGGGCUCUGCCAUCUACUUCCUGCACGAUCUUUUCAUGUCGCAGUUGCUCUGGGUCUCAGUUUUCCCACCUGUAAAAAUGAGGGAGCUAAAGGUGACCAGGCCAUGGAUCGUUCAGCUCUGGCUUUGCAGGAAAUUGUGAAGAAUGAAUCAUCCUCUGCCAGCUCAGGGCACCCCUGUGGUCCGGGUCCUCCAGCCCUCAAGAAUGCUGAUCUAACUGAUACCAUCUCCAGGAGCCUGGUGUUCCUGAGGAGCCAGAAUUUGCAUGAACAGCAAGAUAUUGAUGGAUACUCAAGCUGAGAACUAAUAAGUGAUUGAGACCUUCCCUCAAGACAGGAUAUUAAGCAGCCAAAGGAAGUGGAGACCUUCCAGAUGGAAAAGAAAGGAAUCUUGAGAGAGCACAGAGCGUUUGACAAACAAGGGCUGUUUGUCCAGUUCCUGGGCUGCUAAUUUCAAAAUGAUCAUCCUCAGGCACUUUGGGGAGACUCACCAGCUAGAGAAUGUGGCUGUUGCUGUGUCUUAGAGGGAAGAGAGGCCUCCUCUACCUCUUCUAAGCCUGCAGCUUCCCGAGGAAUGUAAAACAUCCCCAGUGGGGAAGGGAAAAGCAGGCCAGACUUGACCUGCUAACCCUGGGUUUAAAAAGCUAUUUCAGCUGAGUUGACCUUACCUCUGAACCUGCCAUCAAAGCCACCUCUGUUUAGCUCCUGGUGUGACAAAGGCUACCCAUCCCCAAGUUUCCUUCCUAAGCUUUGUAACUAUGAAUUAAGGACCUGGGUGUUUAAGAAGGGAUAAUGCCAUAGAAUUGCCAAACUUCCUAAAUUGUGUCCAUUUGGGAAUCAUUUCUGGCUUUUCCCUUUGAAAACUCUCAUUGUAACAAUUAAGAUUUUGACCUUACAACUAGAACAGAAUUAGAAUGACUAGUAUAACAGGGUUCUCAAGAGAAACAGACCAAUAGGAAAUACAUGCUAUAUUAUAUCAUAUUAUAUAUACAUAUAAAUCCUAUUGAGAUUAGAAGGGUAGAUAAAGAUAUUUAUUUGGUUUUUUUUUUUUUUUGGUCUUUCUGCCAUUUUCUUGGGCCGCUCUCACGGCAUAUGGAGGUUCCCAGGCUAGUGGUUGAAUCGGAGCUGUAGCCACUGGCCUAUGCCAGAGCCACAGCAACGCUGGAUCCGAGCCGCGUCUGCAACCUACAACACAGCUCAUGGCAACGCCAGAUCGUUAACCCACUGAGCAAGGGCAAGGAUCGAAUCCGCAACCUCAUGGUUCCUAGUCGGGUUUGUUAACCACUGCGCCACGACGGGAACUCCUUUAUUUGUUUUUUUAAAGACAGUGGCUCAUGUGAUUGUGUGGGUCAAUAGGCCCAAAAUAUUUUGGGCAGGCCAGCAGGCUGGAGAUUCAAGUAAGAGUGAAUGCAGUAGGCUUGAGUCUUAAAUCUGCAGACCAGCAGGGUGGAAACUCAGGCUGGGUUUCUGUUUUGCAAUCUUGAAGCAGAAUUGCUCCUUCUUUAAGAAAUCUCAGUCUUUGCUCUUAUGGCCCCCAACUGAUUACACAAGAGCCACCCACAUUAUGGAAGGUUAUGUGCUUUACUUGAAAUCUACUGAUAAUAAAUAUUAAUCACAUCUUAAAAAAUACCUUCA